rnacentral:rRNA from 1 species
GACGAACGCUGGCGGCGUGCUUAACACAUGCAAGUCGAGCGAUGAAGCACCUUCGGGUGUGAAUUAGCGGCGAACGGGUGAGGAACACGUGAAGAAUCUGCCUUCAACUCUGGGAUAACUCCGGGAAACCGGGGCUAAUACCGGAUAUGAGCCUUGAUCGCAUGAUCGGGGCUGGAAAGUUUUUCGGUUGAAGAUGACUUCGCGGCCUAUCAGCUUGUUGGUGAGGUAAUGGCUCACCAAGGCGACGACGGGUAGCCGGCCUGAGAGGGCGACCGGCCACACUGGGACUGAGACACGGCCCAGACUCCUACGGGAGGCAGCAGUGGGGAAUAUUGGGCAAUGGAGGAAACUCUGACCCAGCGACGCCGCGUGAGGGAUGACGGCCUUCGGGUUGUAAACCUCUUUCAGCAGGGAAGAAGCGAAAGUGACGGUACCUGCAGAAGAAGCACCGGCUAACUACGUGCCAGCCGCCGCGGUAA